AUCCAAAAUGCGUUUUGGCACGUCGAAAACAUUGAGCAGUUGGAGAAACGAGGGGCAAGGCAGAAGGGCCGCGCUUUCGUUUUUUUUGCGUUGUCUUCUCUCGAUCUCUUUCUCCGUGUUACGCAUAUUCUCUCGCACUUUGCUUCU
ensembl:ncRNA Y71H10A.3 ncRNA